rnacentral:rRNA from 1 species
CACGUAGGGGACGAGCGUUGUCCGGAUUCAUUGGGCGUAAAGCGCGCGUAGGCGGCUCGGAAAGUCGGUCGUGAAAUGCCGGGGCUCAACCCCGGGACUGCGUCCGAUACUCCCGAGCUGGAGGCAGGUAGGGGAGAUCGGAAUUCCUGGUGUAGCGGUGAAAUGCGCAGAUAUCAGGAGGAACACCGGUGGCGAAGGCGGAUCUCUGGGCCUUGCCUGACGCUGAGGCGCGAAAGCGUGGGGAGCGGACAGG